ACAGGCCAGUUGAAUUUACUAGGGAUGCACCGAAUCCAGAUUUUUGGGGUUCGGCCGAAUACCGAAUCCACUGGUUAAGAUUCUGCCGAAUCCGAAACCGAAUACCGAAUCCUACUCCAUCCUCAGUCUAUUAACACAUUAAACACAUUUAUGAAGUAAAUAACAUCCACAGCAGUGUAUAUUUAAUUUUAUUUUAACUGUAAAAAAGGCAACAUUAGGCCAGGAUGACUAUUUUGACAAUUAGGCCAUCUCAAGAUCCAACCAAUAGCCUAUACAAAAUAUGAGUCUUAAUCCCAUAAAG